AGCGAACGUUAGCGGCGGGCCUAACACAUGCAAGUCGAGCGAGAAAGUGGCUUCGGCCAUCAGUAAAGCGGCGGACGGGUGAGUAACACGUAGGUAAUCUUCCCUUGAGCGGGGGACAACGAGCCGAAAGGCUCGCUAAUACCGCAUACGUUUCUCGGGAACUCUGGUCCUGGGAAGGAAAGCUAGGCAGCAAUGUCCGGCACUCGAGGAGGAGCCUGCGUCGCAUCAGCUAGUUGGUGGGGUAACGGCCUACCAAGGCGAAGACGCGUAGCUGAUCUGAGAGGAUGAUCAGCAAGCCUGGGACUGAGACACGACCCAGACUCCUACGGGAGGCAGCAGUGGGGAAUAUUGGACAAUGGGCGCAAGCCUGAUCCAGCCACGCCGCGUGAGUGAUGAAGGCCUUCGGGUCGUAAAGCUCUGUGGGGAGGGACGAACCGCCGGAUGUGCAUAGCAUCCGGCAUGACGGUACCUCCUUAGCAAGCACCGGCUAACUUCGUGCCAGCAGCCGCCGUAACAC
rnacentral:rRNA from 1 species